rnacentral:rRNA from 1 species
CCUACGGGUGGCAGCAGUGGGGAAUAUUGCUCAAUGGGGGAAACCCUGAUGCAGCGACGCAGCGUGAGUGAAGAAGUAUUUCGGUAUGUAAAGCUCUGUCAGCAGGGAAGAAAAUGACGGUACCUGACCAAGAAGCCCCGGCUAACUACGUUCAAGAAGCCGCGGUAAUACGUAGGGGGCAGGGGUUAUCCGGAUUUACUGGGUUUAAAGGGAGCGUAGACGGCAUGGCAAGUCUGGAGUGAAAGGCGGGGGCUCAACCCCCGGAUUGCAUUGGAAACUGCCAGGCUGGAGUGCAGGAGAGGUAAGUGGAAUUCCUAGUGUAGCGGUGAAAUGCGUAGAUAUUAGGAGGAACACCAGUGGCGAAGGCGGCUUACUGGACUGUAACUGACGUUGAGGCUCGAAAGCGUGGGUAGCAAACAGGAUUAGAUACCCUAGUAGUC